AUUGAACGCUGGCGGCAGGCUUAACACAUGCAAGUCGAGCGGGGUGAUGGUGCUUGCACUAUCACUUAGCGGCGGACGGGUGAGUAAUGCUUAGGAAUCUGCCUAUUAGUGGGGGACAACAUCUCGAAAGGGAUGCUAAUACCGCAUACGUCCUACGGGAGAAAGCAGGGGAUCACUUGUGACCUUGUGCUAAUAGAUGAGCCUAAGUCGGAUUAGCUAGUUGGUGGGGUAAAGGCCUACCAAGGCGACGAUCUGUAGCGGGUCUGAGAGGAUGAUCCGCCACACUGGGACUGAGACACGGCCCAGACUCCUACGGGAGGCAGCAGUGGGGAAUAUUGGACAAUGGGGGGAACCCUGAUCCAGCCAUGCCGCGUGUGUGAAGGAGGCCUUAUGGUUGUAAGGCACUUUAAGCGAGGAGGAGGCUUACCUAGUUAAUACCUGGGAUAAGUGGACGUUACUCGCAGAAUAAGCACCGGCUAACUCUGUGCCAGCAGCCGCCGUAA
rnacentral:rRNA from 1 species